ACCGCUGUGGUGAAAUUGGUAAACACAGAGCUUUCAAAAAGCUCCGACUUUAGGUCUUAUCGGUUCAAAUCCGAUCAGCGGUA
rnacentral:tRNA from 1 species